AACAAACUCAACCUAGCAAGGAUGCCACGAUACGGACAUCCACAGGCUCAAAAGCUCAUAAGUUAGACCCACCACUGGGACCCCUUGCAGGGACUGGCAGAGGCAGCCUUGGUCACUGUGCCCUCUCCAGCUGAUCGAGAUAUUCCAGCUCCAGUCACAACAAGUUCUUCAAAUGGAUUUACCCGUUUCCUGCCGUGACUGGCUUUCACAUCCACUUCUUCUGCCUUGUUGCUUCAGCACCAGCAUGGUGAUCACCACACAGCUGAGAGAAACACCACUUUACUCCCAGCCCAGUGCCCCCAUCCCAUGGCAGUGACCACAACGACUUGCAGGUGGAGCGUGCUCAGCCUCCACCUGGAGAAAGCCCAGCAGCUGCACGGAGAUGGAGCUGACAUUUGGUCAGAGUGGGCUUUCAAGGGAUGGUCUGGAGAUGGCUUUUUUUGUCUGGAAAACACUGAGGCCCAUAAAAUUGUCAAGAGCCAUAAAAGCUGGAUUUCCAGUUUUUGUGGUGUGAGGGAGAUGAAGUGUCCUGGCCAAAAUAAAAUAAAAUAAAAUAAAAUAAGAUAAAAAAUAUAGUAGAUGUGCUCAAAAUUAGGAAAAAUGCAUCCUUGUUAGAC